rnacentral:rRNA from 1 species
AUUGAACGCUGGCGGCAGGCCUAACACAUGCAAGUCGAGCGGAUGAAGGGAGCUUGCUCCUGGAUUCAGCGGCGGACGGGUGAGUAAUGCCUAGGAAUCUGCCUGGUAGUGGGGGAUAACGUCCGGAAACGGGCGCUAAUACCGCAUACGUCUUGAGGGAGAAAGUGGGGGAUCUUCGGACCUCACGCUAUCAGAUGAGCCUAGGUCGGAUUAGCUAGUUGGUGGGGUAAAGGCCUACCAAGGCGACGAUCCGUAACUGGUCUGAGAGGAAGAUCAGUCACACUGGAACUGAGACACGGUCCAGACUCCUACGGGAGGCAGCAGUGGGGAAUAUUGGACAAUGGGCGAAAGCCUGAUCCAGCCAUGCCGCGUGUGUGAAGAAGGUCUUCGGAUUGUAAAGCACUUUAAGUUGGGAGGAAGGGCAGUAAGUUAAUACCUUGCUGUUUUGACGUUACCAACAGAAUAAGCACCGGCUAACUUCGUG